rnacentral:rRNA from 1 species
UACGAAGGGGGCUAGCGUUGCUCGGAAUCACUGGGCGUAAAGCGCACGUAGGCGGGUCUGUAAGUCAGGGGUGAAAUCCUGGAGCUCAACUCCAGAACUGCCUUUGAUACUGCGGAUCUCGAGUCCGGGAGAGGUGAGUGGAACUCCGAGUGUAGAGGUGAAAUUCGUAGAUAUUCGGAAGAACACCAGUGGCGAAGGCGGCUCACUGGCCCGGUACUGACGCUGAGGUGCGAAAGCGUGGGGAGCAAACAGG